rnacentral:rRNA from 1 species
CCUACGGGAGGCUGCAGUGAGGAAUAUUGGUCAAUGGACGAGAGUCUGAACCAGCCAAGUAGCGUGAAGGAUGACUGCCCUAUGGGUUGUAAACUUCUUUUAUAAAGGAAUAAAACGAGGCACGUGUGCCUUUUUGCAUGUACUUUAUGAAUAAGGAUCGGCUAACUCCGUGCCAGCAGCCGCGGUAAUACGGAGGAUCCGAGCGUUAUCCGGAUUUAUUGGGUUUAAAGGGAGCGUAGAUGGGUUGUUAAGUCAGUUGUGAAAGGUUGCGGCUCAACCGUAAAAUUGCAAUUGAUACUGGCAGUCUUGAGUACAGUUGAGGUAGGCGGAAUUCGUGGUGUAGCGGUGAAAUGCUUAGAUAUCACGAAGAACUCCGAUUGCGAAGGCAGCUUACUAAACUGCCACUGACAUUGAUGCUCGAAAGUGUGGGUAUCAAACAGGAUUAGAUACCCCUGUAGUC